rnacentral:ncRNA from 2 species
GGUAGAGUAGGCAUUCAUGCGUAAAGUGCUGGUUGUACGGGAAGUUGACACCAGACGAAAAGCCCUCGGGCUUGCGGUAUGUUUGCUGCAUUCCGCUGCC